rnacentral:tRNA from 1 species
GCCGGGAUUGAGCAAUCCGGCUGCUCGCCUGCCUCGAGAGCAGGUUUCCGCAAGGAUGUGGGGGUUCAAAUCCCUCUCCCGGCG